rnacentral:rRNA from 1 species
UACGGAGGGUGCGAGCGUUGUUCGGAAUCACUGGGCGUAAAGGGCGUGUAGGCGGUCCGCUAAGUCUGAUGUGAAAGCCCGGGGCUCACCCCCGGAAGGGCAUUGGAAACUGGCAGACUCGAGUCCCGGAGAGGAGGGUGGAAUUCCCGGUGUAGCGGUGAAAUGCGCAGAUAUCAGGAGGAACACCGAUGGCGAAGGCAGCUCGCUGGGACGGUACUGACGCUGAGACGCGAAAGCGUGGGGAGCAAACAGG